rnacentral:rRNA from 1 species
AUGUUGAUCAGGAAGUUUUGGUGGAGCAGUAAGGAUGGACAAAGGAAGCCAAGACGGGUAUCCUGGGAAUUGAUGACACAACCAAAAGAAAUGGGUGGCCUAGGUUUUAAUGAUUUUGAGCUUUUUAAUCUUGCUCUGUUGGCCAGGCGUGCUAGGUGUAUUUUGCAAAAUCCCGAAAUAUUGAGCUCGAGAAUCUUGAAAUGUGUUUACUUCCCCUCUUCAUCUAUAUUGCAGGCAGUAGUGGGAAUCCACCCAUCUAUAUUGCAGGCAGUAGUGGGGAGCCUUAACGCAGACUUUUUCACCAUUAGAUCUGUCAAACUUUUUCACCAUUUUCCUAGUCUAGUCGGUCUGCCUAUGUGUUGA